CCUCCUGGGUUCAUGCCAUUCUCCUGCCUCAGCCUCCCGAAUAGCUGGGACUACAGGCACCUGCCACCUCGCCCAGCUAAUUUUUUUUUUUUUUGUAUUUUUAGUAGAGACAGCAUUUCACCGUAUUAGCCAGGAUGGUCUCGAUCUCCUGACCUAGUGAUCCACCCGCCUCAGCCUCCCAAAGUGCUGGGAUUACAGGUGUGAACCACCGCACCUGGCCCAACUUUUUCUUUCUUUUAAAAUGAUUGUUCAUAAAGUUAAAGAAAUGAAGAAAAACAUCAGAUGACUGAGAAAAGAUGUCGAAAUGACACACAAGGAAGACCGAUUUGCUACCAGGAUGGAGAACGUGGGUGAAGCGUGAGAUGACCCACCCCCCAGAACGUGGAGGCACCAGGGACACAGUGGGCCUCAUCUGUGACUUUCUGACCAGACUGAAAUGCACUGGCUUGUCUUUGCACAGGAGAGCCACUGGCCAAGUUGGACAGGAAUCUGGUUGUGCCCUAGUGGGUGAGGAAGAAGAGGCUGUUCUAAUCCCCCAUCCACAGGUGGGAAGACUGAGGCCAAGGGCUCACACUUCAGCAUCACGAGCAUCACCUGCAGGGCUUGGAAAUCACAGAUCAGUGGUCCCCAUCCUUCUGCACACCUGAGGACCCUUACAAAUUAAUGCUAUCUUGUUCCACCCCAAACAGGUGCUUUAACUGGCACUUGGCAUGAUGUGGGCACUGGACAGGCGAUUAAAGUCUUCCCAGUUAAUGCUAACGUGCAGCAAAGUUGUAUUGUGCGAACUUGGAGUAUUGUCCCCACCCCAGAGUUGCUGGGCUGAAGCCUGGGAAUUUGCAGUUGUAACAUGUUCCCAGGUGGUGCUGACAUUGCUGGUCUGGAGGCCAUACGUUGGUAGCCCCUGGGCAAGGGCGCCCUGGCAGAGGUUGGAGGGAAUCUGGUUCCCGGUGUCAUGUGAGGGAUGUGGUCAUCAGUGAUGCAGCUUGAACUGGGGCAGGUCUGGAACUUUGAUGUAGGAAGGACCACAAUUCACUUUUCAAGCCUUCUCCUGGAAGGUGCAAUCUUUAGAAUAGACUCUAAUGUUUCAAAAUGAUCACAUCAGACAGGUUUGGCGAACACAUUUGUUUUCUUGGUGGAG
rnacentral:lncRNA from 1 species